CAUUAUGGUGGGCUGGUGGUGGCGGAGCGAUCCGCGCCGGGUUUCCUUUGUGACCGGUAGACCAACUCCGUCAGCUCACCACCCCU
rnacentral:antisense_RNA from 1 species